UCCCUUGUGGCUUAGAUGGUAAAGAAUCUGCCUACAGUGCAGUAGACCCAGGUUCGAUCCCUGGGUUGAGAA
rfam:Ovis aries breed Texel chromosome 1, whole genome shotgun sequence.